CCGGUUAGCCCAACGAGAUCGGGAUAACACCUGGAAACAGAUGCUAAUACCGGAUAACAACAGAUGAUGCCUAUCAACUGUUUAAAAGAUGGUUCUGCUAUCACUCUUGGAUGGACCUGCGGUGCAUUAGCUAGUUGGUAGGGUAACGGCCUACCAAGGCGAUGAUGCAUAGCCGAGUUGAGAGACUGAUCGGCCACAUUGGGACUGAGACACGGCCCAAACUCCUACGGGAGGCAGCAGGA
rnacentral:rRNA from 1 species